AUCGGCUCACCACUACUUUUAACCUUGUUUUGUUAUUUUGGGGAUUAAACAAACCAUAUGUAACGUGUCAAUUAGUGAGCAUAAUAGGUGUUAGUAGGUGGGGUUUGUUACCUUUUGACAGAGCCAGGCUAGCUGUUUCCAGUCUUUAUGCUAAGCUAAGCUAACAGUCUCCUGGCUCCAGUUGUAUAUUGAACAGACAUAUGUGAGAGUAUCGAUCCUCUCCUCUAACUCGACCAGAAAGCGAAUAAAUAUAAUUCUCAAAAUGUCAAAAACAGUUCCUUUAAAGGCAGGUUUUUGUUUAGAAGGUUUUCAUUUCUUUGUUGUAAUUGUUCUGUUUCUGAAGUCCUUUGGUUAACCAACAGAUUUCUACACCCAUGUUCUCGUCAUGUAGGCCAGCGCUCAGAACAUGAAAGCCGGAGGAGGAAGUGGACUCCCUCGCACCAACCCCCCCACACAGAAGCCCCCCAGCCCGCCCAUGUCAGGGAAAGGGACCCUUGGGAGAGACUUUCUCACCAAACUGCAUUCUGAAAUUUCUAUAUAAUUUCUUGCACGCAUACAUAUUGCACAUUUCAACACACCUUUGAAAGAUCCAGGACUUCAGGCAUAUCUGAUCUACCUUCAGAAGCUGCAAGACUUGACAACUUUUAAAACUGAGAAACUUCAUUCACUCAUCAUCCAUAUGCUCGCUCCUCAUCUGGGUGGACGGCCUGGAAUAAGUAACAUCAGUGUUUGCUUCUUAAAAUUAGGGUUUACAAGACACUGAGAGAAAAGUGAUUGUCUCUCUACGACAAAAGGAUUCGGUGUUCUUUAAAUGUUCUCGAUACAAACACUAUAAGACACAGGAGUAUUGGUAUCCAUACCAAAGCAAUACUUUUUUUACAAUACCUUGCAUGUUAUACAUGUCAAACUCUUUUUUUUUAUUAAUAAAAGAAGCCAUAGUUGUAUUGUAAACACAAUCAUACAAGCAUUAAAAAAGUUAUUUUGACUUGAUCAUUCACUUUCUGAUCAGACAUUGACUACACAAGAUUGUCCUCCUGAGCCACAGCCCCAAUUGAGUCUGACCAGACAUUCGAUUCUCGUUUUAGGACCUGGUAGUUUUCACUUUUGCUAGAAACCCAUUUUGUGCAGCUAAAUAUUUAAACAUCCAGUGGUCAUAUUGAGCUGAUGUCUGUGAUUUUAUAUGCACUCUUACUAUGAAGUUGCGCAAUCGCUAUUCAGUUUCAGUUCAGAAAAAUGUGAUCCUUCCUGGGUGUCUUCCUUUUUUGAUUUUAUAUGAAGCACGAGUUGUAUUACACAGCAGGCCACAAAGGUUGAACUAGGUUUGUACCUUUAUGGACACAGCGAUUCUGAACAUUUGUUUAUGUGUGACAAAUGCCAUUUCAUGGAAGUGCAUUGGAGGCAUUUGAAUGCAUAUGGCAAUAAAUCCCUUGUAUUCUUGAAUUGAAAGGAACAGAUGUUAGUGAACGCAGCUAUAAACACAUUUACAUUUGUGGUCUGCUCACCUGACUUGCGUGUCUUUGGACUGUAACGAAACCAACACAAAUGCACACUGACAAGUCCUGCAGACAAUACACAGGCUAAAAACACUGACAUUUUACAGAAAUAAAGGCUGCUUGAAACAUGAAACUGUCAAAUUGUAGCUAGCAGUUUGAGCACAUAAAAAGAAGGCAUGUAAUAGGUUCUGGAAAGCCCCUUCUGUUGCGACAGAGACAGGGUUUUAGCAGACUGUUGUGCAGGUGAUGAACUCUCAGAUCUCUGUCUUCAACCUUUUAUUGGCAUUUGUCUAAUGCCAGGGCACAGUAGGAACGUUAUCCCAAAGGUCACUGUCAGAAACUCAACUGUUCUGGAUGGCAGCACUAUUCAGAGUGGGGAAAUUACCAGCAGCUGUCAACUGGAUGAGUUUUGACGUCAUUUUGCACUUCUUCACUUUACGAGCAUUCAAUGGGUAUUAGAGGCUGACUGUUACAUCAGAGUGGUUGUCGUAGAUAUAUUGUUUGAUUGUACAUGUUCACCCAAUAAAAAAAACAAAACUGUA